rnacentral:rRNA from 1 species
GACGAACGCUGGCGGCGUGCUUAACACAUGCAAGUCGAACGGAAAGGCCCUGCUUGCAGGGUGCUCGAGUGGCGAACGGGUGAGUAACACGUGGGUGAUCUGCCCCUUAUUUUGGGAUAAGCCUGGGAAACUGGGUCUAAUACUGGAUAGGACCAUGCUGUAGGUGGUGUGGUGGAAAGAUUAGUUUCGGUAAGGGAUGAGCUCGCGGCCUAUCAGCGUGUUGGUGGGGUAAUGGCCUACCAAGGCGUCGACGGGUAGCCGGCCUGAGAGGGUGGACGGCCACAUUGGGACUGAGAUGCGGCCCAGACUACUACGGGAGGCAGCAGUGGGGAAUAUUGCACAAUGGGCGCAAGCCUGAUGCAGCGACGCCGCGUGGGGGAUGACGGCCUUCGGGUUGUAAACUCCUUUCAGCCAUGACGAAGCCCUUGUGGUGACGGUAGUGGUAGAAGAAGCACCGGCUAACUACGUG